GCGUUAGUAGUUCAACUGGAUAGAAUAUCAGAUUUCGGCUCUGAGGGUUGAGGGUUCGAAUCCUUCCUAACGCACUA
rnacentral:tRNA from 1 species